AAUGAGUUCACUGAUUGAUCCGCUUACGGAAUGCUGGAUGGUUGAUGAUGCCUUAUUGUCAGACAGCAAUUCCGUAGUCCUAGUGGUGUAUCUGGUCCUUAGACUUGAGACACCAAGGAUGUCCUGUAUGAGUGCUCCACUCUUUGAUACAAGACUUAUAGGUUUGGCUGUCACAGAUCUAGUACAGCUGGUCAUUGGGAGUGGUAGUCGACCUUACGAGGGCUAUUGAGUGUCGAUAGAGGAUCAUCCACUCUCGGCGUCAUGAGAGGAAUAUCCCAUGUAUUCUUGCUCAGACAAAUCCC
rnacentral:lncRNA from 1 species